AUCUGGAAACAUCGCAACGCCGCUCUCUUCGACAACCUCCGACCAUCUAACGACGAGCUCGUCUGCAGCAUCAAGGAGGAGGCUCGGCUUUGGGCACGGGCCGGAGCCAAAGGACUAGCACUACUAAUCCCUAUAGUCUAA
rnacentral:rRNA from 1 species